rnacentral:tRNA from 1 species
GGUCUGUUAGUCUAGAGGUUAGGACGUUGGAUUUUGAUUCCAAAGACACGGGUUCAAUUCCCGUACGGACCU